rnacentral:rRNA from 1 species
GAAUUUUGGACAAUGGGGGCAACCCUGAUCCAGCCAUGCCGCGUGAGUGAAGAAGGCCUUCGGGUUGUAAAGCUCUUUCGGUGGGAACGAAACGGGCGCGGUGAAUAUCCGCGUUCAAUGACGGUACUCACAGAAGAAGCACCGGCUAACUACGUGCCAGCAGCCGCGGUAAUACGUAGGGUGCGAGCGUUAAUCGGAAUUACUGGGCGUAAAGCGUGCGCAGGCGGUUUAACAAGCUAGAUGUGAAAGCCCCGGGCUUAACCUGGGAAUGGCAUUUAGGACUGUGGAGCUAGAGUGCGGCAGAGGGAGGUGGAAUUCCACGUGUAGCAGUGAAAUGCGUAGAGAUGUGGAGGAACACCGAUGGCGAAGGCAGCCUCCUGGGCCGACACUGACGCUCAUGCACGAAAGCGUGGGGAGCAAACAGG